rnacentral:rRNA from 1 species
AUGUAUCAGAUGAGAAAGUUGUGGUGUGCUCCAUAUCUUGAGGAGCGUUGUUUCCUAGGAUUGAGCAGCAAUCAGAGGAGUGAGAGCUUGAACUCUGUGCUACAUACGCAUCUUGAGGGUAAGAUGUCGUUGUUUGAAAUGCUAGAGCACUAUGAGCGUUGCCUUGCGUCGCGACGGAUUAACGAAGCUCUCCAUGAUGUCGAAGCCUUGCAGUCCGUUCCAUUUACAGAGGAAAAUGCUUCGCCGCUUGAGAAACACGCCGCAACAAUUUUCACACCUAGUGUCUUUAAGAUGGUCUUAUGGAGCAUAGAUGCUGUCAGCAAAUGUCAGAUCAGAGAGAUACUAGAUGGAUCAGAAGAUUCCACUUAUGUUGUGUCCAAGCAGGAAAGAAUGGAUAAAAAGUUUGGAGUGCGCAUUGAAGAGCAAGGAGGUCUUUUGCACAGGGUGAAUUGUUCUUGCCGUAAGCUGGAAUGCGCAGGCACACCAUGUUCCCACAUUUUUUACAUAUUGGGGAUUUUAAAACAAACAAUUCUGCCAGGUUGUUGCGUUCCCACUAGGUGGACUAUGAAUGCAAAAUGUGCAUAUGCACCUACCAGAAAAAACCAGAUGUAUGACUAUUCGGUAAGCCUGCAGAGGUACCGCGAGUUGUGGAAUUGUAGUCACGCCGCAAGUUUCAAGGCAUGCCACUCUGAUGAAGACUAUCACCGUCUAAAGAUGCUUUUGCAAGCACAACAUCAUGGCAAGCAAUCAAGUUUUGAACAAGCUGACAGCAAGGAGUCAACUAAUGCUCAGCAUAACAGCAUUAGGUUUGGCCCGUUGAUGCCGCACUCGGAGAAAGUUGAUAAGGUUCUGGAUCUCGUGCAUGUGCCAGGACGAGGUGCACCGAAGAAAAGGCUGCAGGCAAAGACAAAGAAGUCAAGAUCACAGCAUAUCUAUGGGUAUUGCAAGAAACCAGGUCACAAUCGACGUAAAUGC